UUAAGAUAGGACAUACAAGAAAUUAAAUGUUUGUUCAUGUAAAACAUUAAAUUCUGAAACCUUUAUCAGAUUUAGACACAAGAAAUUAAAUGUUUGCUCAUGUAAAACAUUAAAAUCUUAAACUUAUCUAUACUAUUAAAUUUAGAGACUAAAAUAUUUUAGCUGCUUUUAAUUUCUCCGAGACGACGAUCAUCUGAAAUAUUAUAUAAUAACAAUUAGUUAGUGUUUGUAAUGUACUUUAUAACUUUAUAUAGUAAUUGCGUUAAUUAACAUAGCUUAAUUAUACACCAAAUAAAUUUCUGUAGCUGGUUCCUUUCCCUCUACGUUUUAUAAGCAGAUUGAAAUGGUUUUGUAAGUAAUUUGUCUUGAAUUUAUGACAAUUCGGCACAUUGUCAACUCACCCUACUCAAACACUCUUACAAAUUGUUAGAACUUGCAUCUUUUUAUCAAGCAUGCACCCCCCCCCCCCCCCAAAAAAAAUAAAUAAAUAAAAAAACAAAAGAAAUAUAUCAAAAUCGGAGAAAUGUGUUUAACCCAAGCUUAAAUGAUUUAUCACCAUAAACAUUUCAAGUGGUCUUCAAGCUGCACUCUUGUGGGCUUACUCUAAUAUCAGUGAGUUGAGAUUCAUGAAGGUCUUUGGUUUGGGGGAGGGGGUUGGUACAGAGGAUAUAAUAAUGGGCCAGAAGAAAAAGGAAUAUUGUAAGUAAAAAAUAAAGAAUAUACAAACGAUUAACCGCUUCCAUGCGAUCAUAUAGUUAAUAUUAUCUAUAAUAUAAUAUCUAUCUGUAUAUCAGGAAUGAUGUGGCUUAUCAUCUUUGGCAUUUGGGGAUGUUAGAAAAAGGAGGAGUUUCAGGGUGUGAUAUUAAAAAAAAAGCUGUGCUAAAACUUCCUUUUCCCCAGAGGUGAAAGUUCUAUGUGUGGAUCAAGGAUUUUGAAAAAAUUAGACCCCUGGCAAGCCAAUGUUUAUCAGGGGAAGCAUUUCCCUAGAAAAAAGGAAACUUUAAGAUUUAUAUCUAUAUAAAUUUGACCUCUAAAUAUAUAUAUAUAUAUCACAAUACUUAAGAUGUUGACAUAAUGACUUUAGCAGCUGUCACAUUAUAGGGUCUGGAUGAGGGGUCCUAUGUUUUUGAAUUUUAGAUUUUUUUGGGUCAUUUUUCUCUAUAAUCCUUAUAUUUGUUGUUUAUUAUUGUUUAUCUUAAUAUUUUAGCAUCCCAUUUUUCUCCAUUCUUUUUUAUACCCAUUUUAAUCUAUUCUGUAAAUCUCAUCCAGACCCUCAUAUUAAGGAGAAAACAGUAUUCUUGAAACAGGGUUAAAUACAUGUAAAGCAAAGAGAUUUGAUGAUAUAAUAAAAAAGUGUAUUUCUUUUACGAAGAUUUUUGCAAUGUUACAAGUAGAUUGACAUGUACUACUGCAUGGUAGACAUAAUUAUCUCCCUUUCCAUAUUUUCUGGUUGACAUUUUUUUUACAUUUUUUUUCAAUUUUGCCUAGAAAAAUAAUAAAACUAUAUUGUAGUGCUCUUUUGAAUCAGCUUGAUUCAGUUGACCUUGACUGUUUAGAUUUACAUUUUUCAUUUAACCAAAAAAGUAUCAACAAAAAUACGGAAUUCCAAAAAUAAAAAAAAGGUGAAUAUAAAUUUUUAUUCCGAAAAUGGUGUAGGCCAAUCUUUUUUUCUUCUUUCUAAAACUGAUCUUUCUUGAAUUUUCAUGAAAUAUUUGCCACUGGACAUAAGGUAAGCAUUAACAAAUCAUUUGUAGAUUUGCUUAAAAAAUUACAUUUCUAUAUGUUUGAUCUUAUUUACAAUUUAUUUAGUUAUAAUAAAGUUUAUGUAAAAAUGAUUUUUUUUUAUUAAUUGAGUGGUUAUAUUUUUGUCCAAGUUUAUCUUAUAUUUUAAAUAUCAUGUAAACUUGAUAUCUUUUGACACCUA
rnacentral:lncRNA from 1 species